GGAUUAGAUACCCUGGUAGUCCACGCCGUAAACGAUGUCUACUAGCCGUUGGGAGGCUUGACCUCUUAGUGGCGCAGCUAACGCGAUAAGUAGACCGCCUGGGGAGUACGGUCGCAAGAUUAAAACUCAAAUGAAUUGACGGGGGCCCGCACAAGCGGUGGAGCAUGUGGUUUAAUUCGAUGCAACGCGAAAAACCUUACCAGGCCUUGACAUCCUGAGAACUUUCUAGAGAUAGAUUGGUGCCUUCGGGAACUCAGUGACAGGUGUUGCAUGGCUGUCGUCAGCUCGUGCCG
rnacentral:rRNA from 1 species